rnacentral:rRNA from 1 species
UGGGGAAUUCUGGACAAUGGGCGAAAGCCUGAUCCAGCCAUGCCGCGUGAGUGAAGAAGGCCUUCGGGUUGUAAAGCUCUUUCGGCCGGAACGAAAUCGCACUCGUGAAUAUCGAGUGUGGAUGACGGUACCGGAAGAAGAAGGACCGGCUAACUACGUGCCAGCAGCCGCGGUAAUACGUAGGGUCCGAGCGUUAAUCGGAAUUACUGGGCGUAAAGCGCACGCAGGCGGUGACCAUAGUCAGAAGUGAAAGCCCUGGGCUCAACCCGGGAAUUGCUCUUGAUACUGGGUCGCUAGAAUCACGGAGAGGGUAGUGGAAUUCCGAGUGUAGCGGUGAAAUGCGCAGAUAUCAGGAGGAACACCGAUGGCGAAGGCAGGUCUCUGGGCCGAUACUGACGCUGAGGAGCGAAAGCGUGGGGAGCGAACAGG